rnacentral:rRNA from 1 species
GUGGGUAACCUGCCCUUGAAGUAGGGGAUAACACUUGGAAACAGGUGCUAAUACCGUAUAACAACCAAAACCACCUGGUUUUGGUUUAAAAGACGGCUUCGGCUGUCACUUUAGGAUGGACCCGCGGCGCAUUAGCUUGUUGGUAAGGUAACGGCUUACCAAGGCGAUGAUACGUAGCCGACCUGAGAGGGUAAUCGGCCACAUUGGGACUGAGACACGGCCCAAACUCCUACGGGAGGCAGCAGUAGGGAAUCUUCCACAAUGGACGAAAGUCUGAUGGAGCAACGCCGCGUGAGUGAUGAAGGGUUUCGGCUCGUAAAACUCUGUUGUUGGAGAAGAACAGGUGUCAGAGUAACUGUUGACAUCUUGACGGUAUCCAACCAGAAAGCCACGGCUAACUACGUGCCAGCAGCCGCGGUAAUACGUAGGUGGCAAGCGUUGUCCGGAUUUAUUGGGCGUAAAGCGAGCGCAGGCGGUUUUUUAGGUCUGAUGUGAAAGCCUUCGGCUUAACCGGAGAAGUGCAUCGGAAACCGGGAGACUUGAGUGCAGAAGAGGACAGUGGAACUCCAUGUGUAGCGGUGAAAUGCGUAGGUAUAUGGAAGAACACCAGUGGCGAAGGCGGCUGUCUGG